CGGCUACAUUGUGAAUAGACUCAUGCCUCUUCCGUGGAAUAAAACGCAAGCUUCUGAAAAUACCAUGGCAGGAGUCAGAAAAGGUUUUGGGCUUUUUCCAUCGCCCAUGAAUGCCCUCUGAUUUCCUGAUCUUGGUGCUGGCAAAACCCCACUUGAAUCCACAAGCUUGUUCCUGUCUCUGGGAGCAGAUGCGCUGGAUGGCCUGCUAAACCUGACCUGCUGGUUCCCAAAGUCAGAAGAAAGCCUGGGGACCGUGUGCUUCGGCCAGGCACUAGGGCCUCCCCUCCAUCUCUGAAGCCAACACAGGAAGGUGCUGCACUGAUAAGGAUAAAAAUAUUGCCCGUUGGAAAUGGGUGCACAAGAUUUUUCAUCUUCUGAAAUGGGGAUUUGUGAUGCAGCAACCUGAAGCUUCCCCUUUCAGGUUUGUUUUGUAUAGCACUUGACUUGGGUCACUUUGAAGGGAAGGGCUAAGGGCGCAGCAGCAGAUGCAGGAACAUUACUUAAGAAAUUGCUUUUCUGUCCUGUGUGAAGACAAAGAGCUUUUGGCAUUCGUGCAGACUUAAGAGAACAUCUGCGUGAUGGCGGAAGAUUGUGUGAUAAUGGAAAUGAAGCCUCGGAGGAAAAUCUUUUUGCUGAUAAAAAUAAGACUGUUUAUAAGAACUUUCACUGCUGUUCUUUUUUCAGAUUUCUUUAUUUUCGUCAUGUUUUCUUUCUUAUUGGCAGACAUGAUAACCUCUUUAGAAGUCUGUGCCCAUCAUGAAGAAACUGAUUACAUCAUACACCACUACUUUCAGUGGUUGUGUUCUCUCAUUCUGUCUUUCUUAUGCUUUAGAGUACAAAUUUAAAGGUCUGGCUAUACACACAAGUUGCACGGCCUGAACUAAAUUACUUCCAAAGUUGAAGUUAGUUCAAUUUAAUUCUUUAGGUGUUUAAACCAGUUAACUAAUACGGAUUUAGUUUAAGUAGGUACAACUAAGUUGAUUUAGGAUUAUAUGCAGAAGAGAUUGUACCCGUUUAAUCCUGAAAGCAAUUGUUUUAAUUCUGUUGAUACAAUUUCUGUGUUUAGAUUUCACCUUGGAUAUAUUUCUAAAUUGUGAAGUCAACCAGAUAUCUUAAAACCUUGAGAACAUGAGAUUUUUUUUCUUUUAAUUUGUGAAAAUUACUUUGCCUAUAGCACAAGAAAACUUCAUGAUCACACCAUGAGCAGGAAAAGAAGAGAAAGGAGAGCAGAACACGAAGCUGAUCUGCCUAAUUUUAUUGCGCAACACUAACGAAGAGCUAAGCAUUAACGACAGGUUGUGACCCACACUCCUAUUACCAAGGCUGAAAGCGCUUUGCAUGAGGUGAGCCUUGCAGGCUGCCCGUAUGAAUCUUUAUAGCACAUAUCAAAUCUUAGAUAAGUUAAUUGAGCUAAGCCUAUACUGUAUGUAGUGGGGCUUUCUCAAAAUAUUGCACCUACUAAGCAUACAAAAUACCAUGAGAUGAGUGAACACAAUAAAUGAACAUAAGAAAAACAGCACAUGUUUCAUGUGUGCUGGCAGUAAGGAGAUGAUCACUACCCUGGCAUCUGAGAAAGUCUCUACACUGCUUGUAUGAUUUGGGUUUUGUCUUCUAACUUCUGGGGCUCAGACUUCCCCCUCUGUAAUCUGAAUGAUAACAUCCAAUUCAGUGACAGAGUAAGGCUUAGAUAUUUGUAUCAUGAGGUCCAUGGAGGAGAGGACUGUUUGAAAUAUAAAGAUACUACAAUUUAGCUUUUUCCUUAGUGUUUGUAGACUAUAUUUUGCCCUUUUGCAUUGAUUUUGUAAACCUUUUGCACUAAGGAGAGCGCGCACGCACACGCACACGACCCCCCCACCCAAGCCUCCCAAAACCAAAAAAGCAAAAAUCACAAGAUCCUUACCCUGUAAUAAUGGGUUAAGAAAGAAUUUUCCCUUGAAGAUGUGCGUGUUCUGCGCUCCCUCCUAAAAACUAACCUACGAAUAUUUAAGGCAAAGGCUGUGGGUCUGAUUUACCAUCCACUGAAGUCAAUGGUAAAAAUUCUACUGCUAUCAGAAAGAGAGGUGAUCUUCUAGAUAUGCUCUAGAAUAUCUAGACUGUUAUUCUAGGUAUGAUCUGUGGAUGUCUCAGUGCCUAAGGUAUUUCCCUGCUACAAUGGCUUAGUCUAAUUGAGUUCAUAUUUAUUUUGCCUUGAAUAAUUCUAUUUGAAAAGCAUAGGAGGCACUUUUGACGCUGAAAAACCUAUUCUGUAGCUGCAUGGCUAGAAAUAAGAAAACAUGCAAUUCAAGUUUCUUUGCCAGUUUGGCUUUCACCAGUUAAGUUUUGGGGGUUAGCCGAGGAUAUUCAUAAACAUAUGCACAAAAAAGAUACGUCCCAUUAUGAACACUUACGGUUUAAAGAUUCUCAUCUGGCAUCCUGAAUUGUCAGCAACCCCAAUACAUGCAGAUUUCAUUAAGUUGAGUAGUGAUUGUGCUUACUUGGACCCAGGAAAACAUGUGGUAAAUCAGAGUUGGCCACAGAUGAACAGAAUAGCAACUCAGAAGUUCACGGUGACUUUGGGUGGCAGAACUGCUUAUUACUUGGAAAAGGCCUGGAAGCUGACUUCCAGUGAAUCCUGAUCGUUCUCAAGGAGGAGUCAGAGGGAAAAUAUGCAUCUUCAGCACAGGCUGAGAAGCAGCUUUUGUAAUAGAUGUUCUGAACCACUUUUUAAAAGGUGUUCUUUAUGUUUAAAAUGCCAAUCAGUAAAUCGUGCAAUUAAAUACAGAAUUAUGUAUCACUGUAUCCUCACAUAUAUUUUCCUCAUCCAAAAAAGUACACAGACUCAACUGCAGCCUUUGUUAAUUUAUUUGAAAUACCACCAUUCCCUAAUAAGUAUUUUUAAAUUGGUUUAGGGUUGAGGACCAUGUAGCAAGUAAAAUGGGCAAGAAUUAAUUUGAAGUUCUUCAAGGGCAAAAAUGUGAUUUUAUUCAUCACUGUAGUAUUCCUCUGUUCAGAUUGAUCAGAUCAGUUUAGACUACUCAGAAGCUCUACAGCUGUCUUUUCCUUUUGAGACUAAAAAACUCUUAUGAGAAAAUUUGUUAUGUUGAAAAACGGAUGGUGCUAAUGGAUGAUUAAAUGUCUGGGCUAACUUUGUUUUCAAUGUUUUCAUUGGGAUAACUCAAUUUAAUACAAUGUAAUAGAAUUUUCUGGUAUAUGUUAAAGUCCAAAUGGUGAUGUGUAAAAGCAAAGAAUGAAAAUCCCUUUGAGAAAUCUACUUAAAAGCUGACUGUGUGAGAUUGCUGUAACCUUGUAACUCUUUAUUCAUGUGAUGAGAUAAUGACAUAAUUUAGAACUGGGUGACUUAGUGAUAUAUGUUUCAUUUAGAUUCUUUCUACCAGGUGACAUUUAUUGAAAGCUGACUGCUGAGCUGCAUUCCAUGCCUUGUGCUAUCUAUCUGCCUUGGAGCUGUUGGACACUAAAACCCUUCUAACUGGAUUAUUAUGCUGCGGUUCCUCUCUUCACCAGCCUGGUCUACAUUACACCUAGAGGUAAUCAGCUGUGUUUGUUUUCCAGGCAAAGGAUAUUAUAUAUCUUCAUUUUGCACUGUUGACUAGAGGGAGUUUGUGGAGUUUGCCUAGGUUAAAUUUAUGAACCCUAUUUUAAUACUGUAAACUCUCUAUGUGCUUGACUGUCUUUCACUGCAUUUUGACCAUGUGCUUAUGUGCUAAGAAAUAGGAACGUGCCACGUCUGCUGUGCCCUGCAUCCUUGGUGUAAAGAGAUAGAAAAUUUGCUCCAACAUCCAGGUAAGAAAGCUGCUGGGACCCAGAGAAUAAAAGGAUGGAUUUUGGUGAAGCCUUUAAAGUCUGAGCUUGGGAUGACUAAAGGAUUUUGGGACAGAAUAAGGAAACAAGGAGACAAUUUUUAUGGAGAAAACAGGUAUAUUUUCAAUGAACGGAAGAGGCAAUCAGCCAGAGCUCAAAGGUAACCUCCUGUAAGAGGCACAGGCUGUGAGUUAACUACAGCAGGGUGAUCUUAACCCUAACGUAGUGGUUGCAUGGUAACUUGGGCAUAAACCCAUGCUACUGUGGAAAGGGAAGAGCCCACCUUACAUCUCCUGCAUCCUCGUGGUUCAUUCCCACUGCCUCUUUUGGGCUCACACAAGGGGUUUAUGCUGCUGUACGGUAACCUGAAGCAAAGGUAGAUCUGCUGAAAAGGAAACCAGGCGGUGGGGAGAGGCAGGAGACUGUCAGAAGUAUUAUGGAAACAUGCUGAAUUCAACUGACUGUGUAACCACAACCUUGUACGUCCCACUUUUCUGAGCACUGUGGUCAUGUGAUGUCCUGGAGAACAAGUUCAACAGGCUCAUGUCUUUGCAAACAAUAUUUUGCAAAGCUGUGUUUGUGAUUUUGCUUGGAUAAAAGAUGACUGUUGGUUGCCAAUGAGAUAACUACUGUGUAUGUAAACAGGUUCCUAGGUGACGCAGUAAUAGAAUUGUUAACAUCACUUAUACAGUUGGUCUGGAUUUCCUCUCUCAUUUUCUUGUGAGCGUCUA